UACGGUCACAUCAUGUUGAAACACCAAUUCCCAUACGAUCACCGAAGUUAAGCAAAGUCGAGCCUUGUCAGUACCUAAUUGGGUGACCGCUUGGGAAUAC